CAGUAGCCGCGGUAAUACGAAGGGGGCUAGCGUUGUUCGGAUUUACUGGGCGUAAAGGGCGCGUAGGCGGACUGAUAAGUCAGGGGUGAAAUCCCAAGGCUCAACCUUGGAACUGCCUUUGAUACUGUUUGUCUUGAGUUCGAGAGAGGUAAGUGGAACUGCGAGUGUAGAGGUGAAAUUCGUAGAUAUUCGCAAGAACACCAGUGGCGAAGGCGGCUUACUGGCUCGAAACUGACGCUGAGGCGCGAAAGCGUGGGGAGCAAACAGGAUUAGAUACCCCCGUAGUCCCUGUCUCUUAUAC
rnacentral:rRNA from 1 species